rnacentral:rRNA from 1 species
ACUUCGGUAACUUAUUAAACAACUCGGUUGUUCAAUUAGUUAUAUUCUCAUCUUUUUUAGAUGAAAAAAAGAUUAAUCGCCGACUUGAGUUUUUUACGGAGAUCAGGUAAUUAACAUUUUUUGUUAAGCCGACGACCUCUAGCUGGUCCGAGAGGCGGAUUAGCCACAUUAGGACUGAAAACGGUCUAAACUUCGUUUGAAGGCAGCAGUGAGGAAUAUUGGACAAUGGGCGAAAGCUUGAUCCAGCAAUGUCGCGUGGGUGAUGACGGCCUUAGGUUGUAAAGCCCUUUCGUUAGUUAUAAUUUUUUGAUAUAGCUGAAAAAGAAGUCCCGGCUAACUUCGUGCCAGCAGCUGCGGUAAAACGGGGGGGGCAAGCGUUAUUCGUCUUUACUGGGCGUAAAGGGUUAGUAGGCAGUUUGUUAUAAUUGGCAGGACAUUUCGCAAUUUAUUUGCAUUUUUUGCCUUUUUAAGAGCACACUUGAGUUUGGCUGAAGAUAUCGGUACUUUUGAUGGAGAGGUGAAAUUCGUCGAAAUCAAUGGGGGACCACCGUGCGCGGAGGCUGGUGUCUAAGUUUUAAACUGACGCUGAGGUACGAAAGCGUGGGUAGCAAACGGGAUUAGAGACCCCGGUAGUCCACGCCCUAAACGAUAGACCCUAAAUUUAAUUUAAGCGAAAGCGCAAAGGGUCUCGCCUG